rnacentral:lncRNA from 1 species
UUAUACAGUGUGGUUUCCUGUUAUCUUAUUGAGAAGCGGCAAUAAAAAGUCAAAAAUGUAGUGAUAAGAAGGUGGCGGAGCAAGAAAUUGGACGAUGGUUGAGGUGAGCCGGGGAUCGCUUAAAAACUUUCAAGGAAAA